rnacentral:lncRNA from 12 species
GCUGUGUUUAACCAGCACUACAACUUUCUAAAAUGCUAAUAAUACUUUAACUGAAUACAUCCAAAAUAUUACCAGUUUAACAUGAUAUCUUUAUUGUGGUAAAAUAUAUGUAACAUAAAAUUUACCAUUUUAACCAUUAAAGCAGUGGCAUCAAGUAUAUUCCCAUUGUUGUGUGACCAUUACCACCAUCCAGCCACAGAAUAUUUUUCAUCUCCUCCUACCUGGAAAAAGCACUGCUUCAGGAGUUUGCAUGUCAUCCUUGCUCCGGGCAAUUUUCUCUGUAUCAUUUUCAAUGAUUACUUCAGCCCAAGAACAAUCUGGAUGUGCAUCUGAGAAAAAAUAGUGAAGUGACAGAGCAGAAAGCAGAACCCAGUCUCUGCUGAGGGGAUGAUCCUCUCAGAGGUCAGAUCUCUCCACCGACGAGCUGGGUGAGCCCAGAUGCCGUCUCCCAAUGGGCUCCACCACCACCAUAGAGUCAAGACCCUGAGAUCUUCAACACCUGAGCUGAGAUCAAGAGUUGGAUGCUUAACCGACCGAGCCCCCAGGCGCCCCAAUGUGAACCUUCUUAUAUGUCCUUGAUCUUCAAGUAUGCUGGCAGAUAACAUGUAUCCACAAGCUGCAUGGGUAGUCACCUGUCUACUGUUAUCAAAGGCCAGGGAAUAGAAGGAUUCAAAAGCAUUCUUGGCAUUCUAUAGCCAAGAGGUCAUCAUUGACUUGAUUAAAAAAAAAAAAGUUUCAUUAACAAAA